rnacentral:rRNA from 1 species
CCCUUAGAUGUCCUGGGCUGCACGCGCGCUACACUGAUGUGUCCAGUAAGCACCUAACCUCUUCCGAAAGGAACGGGUAACCUUUGCAAAGCACAUCGUGAUGGGGAUAGAUUAUUGCAAUUAUUAGUCUUGAACGAGGAAUUCCUAGUAAGCACAAGUCAUCAGCUUGUGUUGAUUACGUCCCUGCCCUUUGUACACACCGCCCGUCGCUCCUACCGAUUGAAUGGUUUAGUGAGGCCUUCGGAUCCGCGACUCGUUUUGUGGAGAAGUUGGACAAACUCAGUCAUUUAGAGGAAGUAAAAGUCGUAACA